rnacentral:rRNA from 1 species
AACUUUCAGCAACGGUAUCUCUUGGCUCUCGCAUCGAUGAACAACGCAGCGAAUUGCGAUACGUAAUGUGAAUUGCAGAUUUUCAGUGAAUCAUCGAAUCUUUGAACGCACCUUGCGCUCCUUGGUAUUCCGAGGGAGCAUGCCUGGUUUGAGUGUCAU